GCGUUCUUGAGGUAGCCAUUUUGUGAGCGACUACAGGUGGUUAAGUGUUUCGGAAUUUAAAAAUUUUAAAAUAUUCGUAGUUUACAGUAGCAGUAAUAAGUUCAAAAGUGCCAGCAUAAUUAUGUGCAUGUAAGAUAACAUUGUUUUAUUUUGCAGGGAACUGGGUGAAAUGUCCAGUUUCUUCAUGUGGUCAACUGCAAAAUUCAAGGGCAGCUGGAAAAGUCUAAUGUUUCGGGAGGUUCCUGGGCAGAGAAGCUGCUGUACCAAGGGAUGGAUCAUCUCAUUUUCUUAGUAUGGAAAUGCCACAGGAUAUUUGCUCAAGUUCUUCUCCCCAACUGUGCACCAGUUAUGGUCCCAAGCACUAAAGAUUAUCUGCAGAGACAGUGAACACUUGAUAACCGCUUGAAGCAGGAGAGAAGAUAGAUGGAAUGAAAUGUCAAGAAGUGGGGCGUCUACAGUUGCUGGAAGCAAGCAUGGUUGGGGAGAGCACAGUGGCAAGUAAGGACAGCUAUGCACUGGAGAGGGCAUGUGCACAGGCUCAUCAAAAAAUGGUGUGUUAUGAGAUAGUGCGCAUAAUGGGCUUCAACAGCAACACAUUACAACAUAUAGUGUGAGUAGUCUUUUAUUCCUUGCAUACCGUUACAAAAAUACAUCACUCAAGUUAUUGCUUUGUAUAAAGCCAUGCAAAUAUAACUUCAUUUCAUCAUUCAAAAUUACUAUGUGUACAUAGUUAACAGUUGCAAUAAGGCCAAGAACAAUGUAUAAUGAAUUGUACAAGCAUUUGUUGUUAGCAAAUGAUGCACUUUAUCAUGCUGAUGAGAUUUGAAGUUCACAUUGCGCACUAUCUCGAAACGCACGAUUUUUCAUCAUGCCUGUGCACAUAUCCUCUGCAGCUCUUAUGCUCUGAUACUUCUCAAAGUCCUCCUGCAAAGAAAAAUAAAAACCAGUGUUAAUUUUCAACAUAAUCUUUAAACGAACAUGCAGAAAUAUUAGAGUGAACUUGACAUUUACACACAAAAAAAUAUAGAAGUUGGGAUUGAACCUAAGACCUUGUGAAUGCUAGGCUACAGUGCUAACCUCUAGGCCACCAAGGCAGCCUGGCAGUUGUUCCUCUUAGAACUACACUUAAAUUGUUUUUCUUUUGUUCUAGAGGGAGCCAAAUGUAUCAGCUUGCUUCCCGGAUGAAUGAUCUCAUCACUGCCAACUCUGUUUCUUAGUGAUCCUGUUCUCUUCCUUGUGGAUCGCUUCUGCUUUAUCCCAUUGUAUUCUGUGGUUUGCAUACAAUACAUUGGGGAUAAAGCAGAAAUAACCCAGUGAUCCUGUUUUCUUCUUUGUGUACUAUUUCUGCUUCAUCCCAUUGUAUUCUGUGCAGACCACAGAAUACAAUGGGAUAAAGCAGAAAUAGUCCACAAAGAAGAAAACAAGCAUCACUACAGACAACAGCAGGCAACCAAGCUGAUGCAUGAGCUCCAUUAGAACAAGAGGAACACAACUUAAGUACAGUAAUAAAAAAGGAACAAUUGCCAGACUGCCUUGGUCUAGAGGUUAGCACUGCAGCUUAGUAUUCACAAGGUCUCAGGUUCAAUCCUAACUGUCUUCACUAAUAUCAAAACAAAAAAUUAAUUUUUCAGCAGAGAAUGUUAAAUCAAAAAUAUUCAUGAAUACAAUUUUAAUUUCUGUAUAAA